GAUGAACGCUAGCGGCAGGCCUAAUACAUGCAAGUCGAACGGCAGCGGGGGAGAAGCUUGCUUUUCCUGCCGGCGAGUGGCGAACGGGUGAGUAAUACAUCGGAACGUGCCCUGUAGUGGGGGAUAACUAGUCGAAAGAUUAGCUAAUACCGCAUACGACCUGAGGGUGAAAGUGGGGGACCGCAAGGCCUCAUGCUAUAGGAGCGGCCGAUGUCUGAUUAGCUAGUUGGUGGGGUAAAGGCCUACCAAGGCGACGAUCAGUAGCUGGUCUGAGAGGACGAUCAGCCACACUGGGACUGAGACACGGCCCAGACUCCUACGGGAGGCAGCAGUGGGGAAUUUUGGACAAUGGGCGAAAGCCUGAUCCAGCAAUGCCGCGUGUGUGAAGAAGGCCUUCGGGUUGUAAAGCACUUUUGUCCGGAAAGAAAUGGCUCUGGUUAAUACCUGGGGUCGAUGACGGUACCGGAAGAAUAAGGACCGGCUAACUACGUGCCAGCCGCCGCGGUAACAC
rnacentral:rRNA from 1 species